UACGGAGGGUGCGAGCGUUGUCCGGAAUCAUUGGGCGUAAAGCGCGCGUAGGCGGCCCGGUAAGUCCGCUGUGAAAGUCAAAGGCUCAACCUUUGAAUGUCAGCGGAUACUGCCGGGCUAGAGUCCGGAAGAGGCGAGUGGAACUCCUGGUGUAGCGGUGGAAUGCGCAGAUAUCAGGAGGAACACCAAUGGCGAAGGCAGCACUCUGGGACGUGACUGACGCUGAGACGCGAAAGCGUGGGGAGCAAACAGG
rnacentral:rRNA from 1 species